GACGUAGGGUGCGAGCGUUGUCCGGAUUUAUUGGGCGUAAAGAGCUCGUAGGUGGUUCGGUAAGUCGGGUGUUAAACCCCCAGGCUCAACCUGGGGACGCCACUCGAUACUGCUGUGACUUGAGUCCGGUAGGGGAGCGUGGAAUUCCUGGUGUAGCGGUGAAAUGCGCAGAUAUCAGGAGGAACACCGGUGGCGAAGGCGGGUCUCUGGGCCGAAACUGACGCUGAGGAGCGAAAGCGUGGGGAGCAAACAGG
rnacentral:rRNA from 1 species